UACGUAGGGUGCAAGCGUUGUCCGGAAUCAUUGGGCGUAAAGCGCGCGUAGGUGGUCAUGUAAGUCCGCUGUGAAAGUCAAAGGCUCAACCUUUGAAAGCCGGUGGAUACUGCAUGACUAGAGUACGGAAGAGGCGAGUGGAAUUCCUGGUGUAGCGGUGGAAUGCGCAGAUAUCAGGAGGAACACCAAUAGCGAAGGCAGCUCGCUGGGACGUUACUGACACUGAGGAGCGAAAGCGUGGGGAGCGAACAGG
rnacentral:rRNA from 1 species